GACGAACGCUGGCGGCGUGCUUAACACAUGCAAGUCGAACGGAAAGGCCCUGCUUUUGUGGGGUGCUCGAGUGGCGAACGGGUGAGUAACACGUGAGUAACCUGCCCUUGACUUUGGGAUAACUUCAGGAAACUGGGGCUAAUACCGGAUAGGAGCUCCUGCUGCAUGGUGGGGGUUGGAAAGUUUCGGCGGUUGGGGAUGGACUCGCGGCUUAUCAGCUUGUUGGUGGGGUAGUGGCUUACCAAGGCUUUGACAGGUAGCCGGCCUGAGAGGGUGACCGGCCAGGUUGGGACUGAGAUACGGCCCAGACUCCUCCGGGAGGCAGCAGUGGGGAAUAUUGCACAAUGGGCGGAAGCCUGAUGCAGCAACGCCGCGUGCGGGAUGACGGCCUUCGGGUUGUAAACCGCUUUCGCCUGUGACGAAGCGUGAGUGACGGUAAUGGGUAAAGAAGCACCGGCUAACUACGUG
rnacentral:rRNA from 1 species